AUUGAACGCUGGCGGCAGGCCUAACACAUGCAAGUCGAACGAGUGGCGGACGGGUGAGUAAUGUCUGGGAAACUGCCUGAUGGCGGGGGAUAACUACUGGAAACGGUAGCUAAUACCGCAUACCAUCGGAUGUGCCCAGAUGUGAUUGGCUGGUGGGUGGGGUAAUGGCUCACCUCGUCGACGAUCCCUCGCUGGUCUGAGAGGAUGACCAGCCACACGGGAACUGAGACACGGUCCAGACUCCUACGGGAGGCAGCAGUGGUGAAUAUUGCACAAUGGGCGCAAGCCUGAUGCAGCCAUGCCGCGUGUAUGAAGAAGGCCUUCGUGUUGUAAAGUACUUUCAGCGGGGAGGCGUGACUCGAAGAAGAAGCACCGGCUAACUCCGUGCCAGCAGCCGCGGUAAUUG
rnacentral:rRNA from 1 species